CAGCAGCCACGGUAAUACGGAGGGUGCAAGCGUUAAUCGGAAUUACUGGGCGUAAAGCGCACGCAGGCGGUCUGUCAAGUCAGAUGUGAAAUCCCCGGGCUUAACCUGGGAACUGCAUUUGAAACUGGCAGGCUAGAGUCUUGUAGAGGGGGGUAGAAUUCCAGGUGUAGCGGUGAAAUGCGUAGAGACCUGGAGGAAUACCGGUGGCGAAGGCGGCCCCCUGGACAAAGACUGACGCUCAGGUGCGAAAGCGUGGGGAGCAAACAGGAUUAGAGACCCCUGUAGUCCCUGUCUCUUAUAC
rnacentral:rRNA from 1 species